AAAUUCAAAUUUGACAUUCGUCACAAAAUUGAAACUACAAAACAUGAUAUUAAUGAUUUUAAACAAGGUUAAUAAUUAAUGGGGAUCUAAAUUUAUCCAUAAGAAACCAUUUUACAUGUGGUGAAUGAAGUUUGAGGUUGCGGCGGUCAUGUUCGGGUUGCGAAUUGUGAGGCGUGACGCUGAGCCCUGCAGGCACAGGCUCUACGCUUCCUCUGGGCACUGCUGCGGCCACGGUCAGACAGGUGCCGGUCAGUGCUACUGUAGUAGCCUCACAAGCUGGGAAACUUCCCACAAGGAUCACGGUGCCUCUGUCUGUCCUCAGCCAACCCUUGAAAAAUAAGAGUCUGAUCACUACUCCCAUACUUAAGGGGAACAUAAGCACCAAUAUCAGCAAUCUGGGGAGGAACAUUAUCCUGACUACCAUGCCAGCAGGCACCAAAUUGAUUGCUGGGAACAAGCCUGUCAGCUUCGUGACUGCUCAACAGCUGCAGCAGCUACAGCAGCAGGGACAGGCCACACAGGUUCGAAUCCAGACGGUACCGGCUCAGCAGCUACAGCGCACAGCCGCCAACUCUCCGAAAUCCACAGUGUCGACGGUGGUGGUCUCUACUGCACCCUCGCCAAAGACAAACCCAGACCCUCAAUGAGACCUACAAUAGUUUAAAGGCCAUAGAUCUAGCCAUUUCUCUUCAGAUUAAGAUAAAACUAAAAGAAGCAUAGACCUCAAAACAAAAAAACAAAAAAAGGAAAGAGUCUUGCUCUACUUUCCCAUGAAACUUGCAUAUGGGCAAAGCAGUGUCAGAUUCUAAGUACUGGUCUUGUCCUGACGCAGCUUUUCCUGUAACAUUGUUCCCAGCAUUUCAGUUAUAUGCUGAUUGUUGAAGUUGAAAAAGGAAGUAUGAUUUGGAUGCUGAUAUAUUGUAAGGGAAUUCAGGUCUGAUCUAUGGCUUGUAUCAGUCUAUGAUCUUGGUUCAAGUUAAUGGCCUUUCUCUAGAAGCUGUUGACAUGUACACGGGCAAGUUUGUUUAUUUGUGCUUUUUAUGUCUUAUGUUCUUCUAAAGAAAUGUAAUUUAAAAAGUACCGUUUAUAUUCUGUAGCCACUGCUUGUGUGAUGAUGAUAAAUAAAUGAUUGUGCUAAACAAAACAAAUCAAAUUUAAGAAACUGUUACAUUAGAACCAAACCGAUUCUAGGGCUUAACCCUGCAUUUAAAUUGUGUAUAUGUAAAAUAAAUACUUUGCCUGUUUUGGGCCACUUCGUUUACAUGAUGUGGUCAGUAACAUGAAUCAAA